rnacentral:rRNA from 1 species
GACGAACCGUGCGAACGUUAUUCGGAAUCACUGGGCUUAAAGCGCGUGUAGGCGGAUGGGAACGUCGGUAGUUGAAAGCCCCCGGCUCAACCGGGGAAGUGGUGCCGAAACGACCCGUCUGGAGGGACGUAGGGGGACCUGGAACUUCCGGUGGAGCGGUGAAAUGCGUUGAGAUCGGAAGGAACGCCCGUGGCGAAAGCGAGGUCCUGGACGUCCACUGACGCUGAGACGCGAAAGCUAGGGGAGCAAACGGG